GCUGGUGGAGAAAUAUGCUCAGUCACUGGGGCAUCUGGCCUGUGGAUUCUUCUCUCCUGUACCCUUUGCUUUGCUUUCCUGUGUGGUUUCUGUAGUCCUUGUAAGCAGUUUUAUAAUCAGUGUCAUGAUAUUAUCACUUCAUGCUUUUUUCUCUUUAUUAGCUUAGGAUUGACUCUGCUCCUGAAUUUUGGAGGAAAUGCCUGGGCAACAGAUAUACAUGCACACAUUGUACCGUCUUCCCAUUGGCUUCUCAGAAGAGUUUAUUCCUUAGACUUUCCUCAGUGCUGGAUUAAAUAGACGUUAAGUCCCAUCCUGCCCUGACUGUGUUCUAGUGUCAAUGAGUUUUAUAUAUCCUGGGUGUAUGUAUUUGUUUACUUUUUUAAAGUUAAUUUAUGUCUGUGGACAUGCGUGCCAGAGCAUGAUUUUCAGAAAUGGUCCACAGUAUGAACAAGUUGUGGGGAUCAAACACGGGUUUUCAGACUUGACUGUAAGCACCGUGACCCACUGAGCUGUCUUUCUGGCAUCCAUGCACCAUGUAGUAUUUCAUUUUGUUUUUCAGUUGAACACAAGUUCUUAAUUUUAGUUUAGUCCUAUUUAUUAGUCUUUUUUUCAUUAUAUUUUAAAAUGGUAUUAUUGUAUGUCUGGUGAUCAGCGUUGAUAAAGACAGUUUUUGAUGUCAUUCAUCUAACUAGUUAACAGUGGGAGGUUGAUGUAUCAGGAGUUAUAUAGUGAGAGGGCUAGGGAACUGGAAGGAGGGGCCUCAGCAGAUAGUUGCUAUUCAGUCAGUCCAUGGACCUGACUGUUUCCUUCCUUCCUUCCUUCCUUCCUUCCUUCCUUCCUUCCUUCCUUCCUUCCUUCCUUCCUUCCUUUUUUUUUGAGACAGGGUUUCUCUGUAGCCCUUGCUGUCCUGGAACUCACUUUGUAGACCAGGCUGGCCUUGAACUCAGAAAUCUGCCUACCUCUGCCUCCCAAGUGCUUGGAUUAAAGGCGUGCGCCACUACUCCCGGCAACCUGACUGUUUCUUGGGUGCUCACCGUGUGCCUGGCACUGUUUUAGGCAUCCUUUGAGUGGAACUGUGGACUUUUCACUAUAGUAACUGAAAUAGUUAUCUUCUUUUUUUUUUUGUGGGUCUAAUUAUAUUUUAUUUGAAAGGAUGUUAGAUGUUGAGAGGCAAUAAUCAUAAAAGCUAACUUUAUCAUUAAAAGUCAGAGUUGAAGAUAUUUUAUGUAUAUAAAAAAAGAGUGGAUACCAAAAUACCUUUUAGUUGUUGAAGAUGCAAGGGCAAUGUAAGAUUUAGAUGAUAAAACUAUUCAUAAGCUUGUUUAAGAACACAACAAACAAGAAAGAGAAACAAAAAUGAACUUAAAUCCCGCCACACAUGAGUGUAAUUUCUGAGGCUUCACUAACACUCACAUAGCAGGACGCUCGUCUCUGAGGAGAGCCUCAGUGCUCCUUUAGAAUUGGCUGUUAGGACUUCAGCCUACAUGUGGGGUGUUCAUGAAGAGCAGCCUGAAGAGACUGAGGACAUCUGCAGACGGGAAACGUGUUUCUGUUAAUUUGCACCUGUUGGCUCUCAAUCCAGUUCGUAGGGGUUAGCUGCAGCCUAGAGCUGCUCCCCCUCGGCACAGGGAGUCAUCUGAAGCAGGAGGACACACAGAGUCUAGUUUUUAGUAAGUUUACAGAUUUACUGCAUGGAUUUUCUUGUGGUUGUGAAUCCAUUCUAAUCCUGAUGAUUAAAAUAGCUAUUUAGAUGGACUCCUGAGAACUGUGAAGAGAACUGGAGUUCAGAGAAGAAGG
rnacentral:lncRNA from 1 species